rnacentral:rRNA from 1 species
GGGCCCGCACAAGCGGUGGAGUAUGUGGUUUAAUUCGAUGCAACGCGAAGAACCUUACCAGGGUUUGACAUCCUGCGAAUCUCUUGGAAACAGGAGAGUGCCUUCGGGAACGCAGUGACAGGUGGUGCAUGGCUGUCGUCAGCUCGUGUCGUGAGAUGUUGGGUUAAGUCCCGCAACGAGCGCAACCCACGUCUUUAGUUGCCAGCAUUUAGUUGGGCACUCUAGAGAGACCGCCGGUGAUAAACCGGAGGAAGGUGUGGAUGACGUCAAGUCAUCAUGCCCCUUACAUCCUGGGCUACACACGUACUACAAUGCUACGGACAAAGGGCAGCAAACUCGCGAGAGCUAGCAAAUCCCAUAAACCGUGGCUCAGUUCAGAUCGUAGGCUGCAACUCGCCUACGUGAAGGAGGAAUCGCUAGUAAUCGCAGGU